rnacentral:rRNA from 1 species
AACGAACGCUGGCGGCGCGCUUAACACAUGCAAGUCGAACGAGAAGGCGUAGCAAUACGCUUGUACAGUGGCGAACGGGUGGGUAAUACGUGGGCGACCUACCCUCGAGUGGGGAAUAACCCGCCGAAAGGCGGGCUAAUGCCGCGUACGCUUCCAUCUUUAUGGAGGUGGAAGGAAAGCCGUGCCGUGGGCACGGCGCUCAAGGAUGGGCUCACGUCCUAUCAGCUUGUUGGUAGGGAACGGCCUACCAAGGCUCCGACGGGUAGCUGGUCUGAGAGGACGAUCAGCCACACUGGCACUGCGACACGGGCCAGACUCCUACGGGAGCAGCAGUGAGGAAUAUU